rnacentral:lncRNA from 1 species
CUGUGGACCAGUAAUAGAUGAUCACAAUCAAUUUACAUGUUUAUUGGUAGUUUAAAAAUAAAUGUUGAAUAGUACUAAGCGGGCGACAAAAUUGGUUCUUUGUGGUGGAGGGACUCAAAAACUGUCAUAAAUUUACCGGGGAAUCAUGGGGUAGGCUGGUUUGGCGACAAUUUGAGGAAGGAGGUAGGGGAAGGCAAGAAUACUAGGUUCUGGUUGGACCCUUGGGUGGAUGGUGUUUCAUUAAGUCAUAAUUUUGGUAGAUUAUUCGAACUGGCAUAGACAAGGGAGUAACAGUGGAAGACAUGAUAGGCGAGGAGGGAGGGGUUAAGUUCGUGAAGUGGAACGGGCGAAGGAGGCUGUUCCGUUGGGAGGAGGAAUUAUCAGAAGUGUGCAGUUGUUUUGUUCUUGGAGCUAUCAAUCUGAAUGGAGGGGAGGAUUGUUGGAAAUGAGCAAAGUCGGAUUACACUGUUAAAGAAGCUUAUACUUGUUUGGGUGAGGAUGAGGUUGAUACAGUGGGUUGAACUAAAUAAGUGUGGAAUCCGUUGGUCCCGUUGAAGAUGUCAGCUCUAGUUUGGAGGCUUCUUCUAAAUAGACUCCCAAUUAAGGACAACGUGUUUGGUUGAACUCGUCCUUAUUGUGUGUGUUGGAUUAUGCCUUCAAAUUAAGCAGAAAAAACANNNNNNNNNNNNNNNNNNNNNNNNUGUGGUAGGAUAGAGACUGCUAGUCACGUAUUUUUCAACCGUCUUAUCCUUUCCGUUUGCUGGAAAGAGUCAUUGAGGUGGUUAGGAGUAUCAGCUGCCUUUCUGGAGGGAUAGAGCACUUGCGCUGUUUCAAAGGCUUGGUGUCUGGUGGAAACAAUGUCGGCGAGAAAUUAGGAGCCAUUUGGUUUUCCAUUGUCUCAUAUACGUGGAAAGUGCGAAAUGGUUGAUCUUCAAGUUGGAUGGAUUCAAUUGGGAGAAGGUGGUGGAGGAAUAUAACGUCUUAUCUUGGAGGAUUAUUAGAUAUAGAUCAAAAGUAUUUAUGUGUAGCUUAAGUCAUUGGUUAGUGAAUCCUAUUGAUUGUCUGGAGUUGAAAAACCCUCUUAGGUGCUGUUUCUGCUGGCUGGCCUGUUAAUUGAUUCUAGGUCCAUGUGUUUUGUCCUUGUUUCGAAUUGUUUUCUUUUGAACACGGCCAGAUUUUGGAGGCGUUCUUGCAUUGCUAGCGUAAAAUCAAGUUCAGUGCGCGGACCUGCUGUUAUGAUCUUCGGUGUUGCAGCUGUGGUGUUUUAUUUUGCAGAACCUGUUUGCGUGCUGCUUAUUCAAUGUUGGUGCUGCUGACAGAUAGCAUUUUCUGCUUUUGUACAGGAUGUGCUCUAUCAGCUAAGUUGGUUGAUCAGUUCAUGUGUUUUGGCUGGACAAUUUCUUUGGAUAUUUAUCUACAGUUUUAGUUAAUAUCUUUAUUGGCAGGGUCGUUUGUUUUUUGUAUAAUAAGGGAAUGGAGUGUAUGAGCUUUUGAGACUUUCUAUUGGCUCCUAGUGUUGAUGCACACAUUUUUAAAACAAACUCAUUUUGGAUUGUUGUUCCUUUUGGCUGGUGAUGAGGAACAUGAUUUUGAGGAGAAUGUCGGUGUUGUGUUGGGGACAAGAUAAAUGAAGUAGAAAGUGAUGAUGAUCGUUGGCAUUCUGAAGAACUUAGGAGUCCUAUAAGUUCUAAUGACGAAGAAGAUGGAAGUGAAAUACUUGUGUUCUAUCAAUUCAAUGAAGCGACAGAGUUUGGUCAUAACAGUCUCGAGAUUGGUUAAAGGUCUGAGAUUCUACUUUCUGAUAUUAAGGGUGUAUAAUACACAUUAGGUGCAAUAUUUGGAUUGUAUUUUCUGAUUCUUAUUGUGUCAAUGUACAUAAUGCAAUCUUGAUAUAGUAGAUUUCAUUGGAAUUUGAAUUACUG